rnacentral:rRNA from 1 species
AUUGAACGCUGGCGGCGUGCCUAACACAUGCAAGUCGAACGAGUGGCGGACGGGUGGGUAAUUUCUGGGCAACUGCCUGAUGGAGGGGGAUAACUACUGGAAACGGUAGCUAAUACCACAUACCAUCGGAUGUGCACAGAGUGGAUUAGCUAGUAGGUGGGGUAACGGCUCACCUAGGCGACGAUCCCUAGCUGGUCUGAGAGUAUGACCAGCCACACUGGAACUGAGACACGGUCCAGACUCCUACGGGAGGCAGCAGUGGGGAAUAUUGCACAAUGGGCGAAAGCCUGAUGCAGCCACGCCGCGUGUAUGAAGAAGGUUUUCGGGUUGUAAAGUACUUUCAGCGGGGAGGCGUUACUCGCAGAAGAAGUACCGGCUAACUCCGUGCCAGCAGCCGCGGUAAUUC